rnacentral:rRNA from 1 species
GACGAACGCUGGCGGCGUGCUUAACACAUGCAAGUCGAACGGAAACGCCCUGCUUUUGUGGGGUGCUCGAGUGGCGAUCGGGUGAGUAACACGUGAGUAACCUGCCCUUGACUUUGGUAUAACUUCAGGUAACUGGGCUUACUACCGGAUCGGAGCUCCUGCUGCAUGGUGGGCGUUGGAUAUUCUCGGCGGUCGGGGAUGGACUCGCGGCUUAUCAGCUUGUUGGUGGGGUAGUGGCUUACCAAGGCUUUGACGGAUAGGCGGCCUGGGAGGGUGGACGGGGACAAGGGGACUAAGAGACGGCGCAGACGGGUACGGGAGGCAGCGGGGGGGAGUAUGGCACAAUGAGCGGGAGCCUGAGGCAGCAACGUCGCGGGCGGAAUGACGGCCUGCGGGGUAUGAACAGCUGUAGCCUGAGACGAAGCGGGAGUGACGGUAAUGAGUAAAGAAGCACCGGCUAACUACGUG